UUGUAAAUGUUUCAGCUGUGCUUUGUGAGAAAGGAGGGAGAAUAACAGGUUUUAAUACAAACUAUAGCCCAUUGCUAAAUCUAAUCAA